UGGCGCUGUGCAUCAUGGGAAUCGAAGUGAAAUUGGAUAAGCGCACGUCUAAGCCCACCAAGAAGACCGAUGCAGCACCUUCCGGGAACGGGCAGCGUGAAGAGGACACAAACGUCUGAGCGGGAAAACCCACACAACCGAGAUGUUCCUAGAAUAUCUGGUCGUCGUGGUGAAAAUCUUUCAGGGCCGCUGACUGAGAACCAUGAGAUUAAAGAAAAGGGAAGAAAUCUUAAAAUUGUACAUUGGGUAUCAUGAGGCCUGUUAGAAGAAAGUAUCGACGGAGCUGAAAUAUGCUAUGAAGUCGACGUUUUGCUCUACUCGACUAGAAUGAGUGGGCUGAAUUUGAUACAGAUUCGGGCAGAAUUUUCGGGACAUUGUGGUCCACAUUGAGAUAAUAAGAUGGAGAAGUUAUGCUUCGUGACGUAUGUGCUGUCCGCCAUGUACAUGUACUUGUAGACGAUUAAACAAUGGAGAAUCAGACCUAGGGGUGGGUACCGGUACAGAAAAUUCAAGUCCAGGUCCGGUUCAAGUCCAAAGGAUCAGGUCCAGGCCCGGACCUGAACCUGGACCUGAUUGAGUAUGUGAAAGCUUGUGAAUGGCCGGUAUUGUUGACGAUACCCAAAACAACAGUCCAUUUCGCUACAAAGAAGUAUGUUUUGUGGAGUACUUGACUUCCACUGGCUUAUAAAAUCCUGCAAGGUUAACUGCCCCGCACGAUUGUCUGUAAAACGUUUUAGAAAGGACUAUAAACUCUAUUGUGCUUCGCUCAUGUUAUUUUCGUCGAGAGAUAAGCCCCAAAACGUGUGAAUUCCUGAUUGUGUUUCUUGUUUAUUUUCUGAUAGCUGAAACAUCAUUUUUUUUAGGUCCGGUUUUUCCGGACCGGUCCAAAAAGAAAAACCCGUUUUGUACCGGUACGCUGUACCGGUACGCCAACCCUUCCUCCCCCGAAAAGCCAACACAAUAGCUAUCGGCGGAUUCGUAUAGAGAUUAUGCAUCGAUUCAUGUGACGCUGUGUAACGUUUAACUGUAAUGAUCAAACAUGUUCAACUAUAACAUGGCAAUUUAUUACGUGCUAUUCACUUUUUUUCACUUUCUUAUGUACUAUUUCACUUAACAAUAAUAUGUACCUCAAUACAAACUACUGCCAAUACUGGUGAAUUUUCA